UUAAGCGACUAAGCGUACACGGUGGAUGCCCUGGCAGUCAGAGGCGAUGAAGGACGUGCUAAUCUGCGAUAAGCGUCGGUAAGGUGAUAUGAACCGUUAUAACCGGCGAUUUCCGAAUGGGGAAACCCAGUGUGUUUCGACACACUAUCAUUAACUGAAUCCAUAGGUUAAUGAGGCGAACCGGGGGAACUGAAACAUCUAAGUACCCCGAGGAAAAGAAAUCAACCGAGAUUCCCCCAGUAGCGGCGAGCGAACGGGGAGCAGCCCAGAGUCUGAAUCAGUGUGUGUGUUAGUGGAAGCGUCUGGAAAGGCGCGCGAUACAGGGUGACAGCCCCGUACACAAAAAUGCACAUAUUGUGAGCUCGAUGAGUAGGGCGGGACACGUGGUAUCCUGUCUGAAUAUGGGGGGACCAUCCUCCAAGGCUAAAUACUCCUGACUGACCGAUAGUGAACCAGUACCGUGAGGGAAAGGCGAAAAGAACCCCGGCGAGGGGAGUGAAAAAGAACCUGAAACCGUGUACGUACAAGCAGUGGGAGCACGCUUAGGCGUGUGACUGCGUACCUUUUGUAUAAUGGGUCAGCGACUUAUAUUCUGUAGCAAGGUUAACCGAAUAGGGGAGCCGAAGGGAAACCGAGUCUUAACUGGGCGUUAAGUUGCAGGGUAUAGACCCGAAACCCGGUGAUCUAGCCAUGGGCAGGUUGAAGGUUGGGUAACACUAACUGGAGGACCGAACCGACUAAUGUUGAAAAAUUAGCGGAUGACUUGUGGCUGGGGGUGAAAGGCCAAUCAAACCGGGAGAUAGCUGGUUCUCCCCGAAAGCUAUUUAGGUAGCGCCUCGUGAAUUCAUCUCCGGGGGUAGAGCACUGUUUCGGCAAGGGGGUCAUCCCGACUUACCAACCCGAUGCAAACUGCGAAUACCGGAGAAUGUUAUCACGGGAGACACACGGCGGGUGCUAACGUCCGUCGUGAAGAGGGAAACAACCCAGACCGCCAGCUAAGGUCCCAAAGUCAUGGUUAAGUGGGAAACGAUGUGGGAAGGCCCAGACAGCCAGGAUGUUGGCUUAGAAGCAGCCAUCAUUUAAAGAAAGCGUAAUAGCUCACUGGUCGAGUCGGCCUGCGCGGAAGAUGUAACGGGGCUAAACCAUGCACCGAAGCUGCGGCAGCGACGCUUAUGCGUUGUUGGGUAGGGGAGCGUUCUGUAAGCCUGUGAAGGUGUGCUGUGAGGCAUGCUGGAGGUAUCAGAAGUGCGAAUGCUGACAUAAGUAACGAUAAAGCGGGUGAAAAGCCCGCUCGCCGGAAGACCAAGGGUUCCUGUCCAACGUUAAUCGGGGCAGGGUGAGUCGACCCCUAAGGCGAGGCCGAAAGGCGUAGUCGAUGGGAAACAGGUUAAUAUUCCUGUACUUGGUGUUACUGCGAAGGGGGGACGGAGAAGGCUAUGUUGGCCGGGCGACGGUUGUCCCGGUUUAAGCGUGUAGGCUGGUUUUCCAGGCAAAUCCGGAAAAUCAAGGCUGAGGCGUGAUGACGAGGCACUACGGUGCUGAAGCAACAAAUGCCCUGCUUCCAGGAAAAGCCUCUAAGCAUCAGGUAACAUCAAAUCGUACCCCAAACCGACACAGGUGGUCAGGUAGAGAAUACCAAGGCGCUUGAGAGAACUCGGGUGAAGGAACUAGGCAAAAUGGUGCCGUAACUUCGGGAGAAGGCACGCUGAUAUGUAGGUGAAGUCCCUUGCGGAUGGAGCUGAAAUCAGUCGAAGAUACCAGCUGGCUGCAACUGUUUAUUAAAAACACAGCACUGUGCAAACACGAAAGUGGACGUAUACGGUGUGACGCCUGCCCGGUGCCGGAAGGUUAAUUGAUGGGGUCAGCGCAAGCGAAGCUCUUGAUCGAAGCCCCGGUAAACGGCGGCCGUAACUAUAACGGUCCUAAGGUAGCGAAAUUCCUUGUCGGGUAAGUUCCGACCUGCACGAAUGGCGUAAUGAUGGCCAGGCUGUCUCCACCCGAGACUCAGUGAAAUUGAACUCGCUGUGAAGAUGCAGUGUACCCGCGGCAAGACGGAAAGACCCCGUGAACCUUUACUAUAGCUUGACACUGAACAUUGAGCCUUGAUGUGUAGGAUAGGUGGGAGGCUUAGAAGUGUGGACGCCAGUCUGCAUGGAGCCGACCUUGAAAUACCACCCUUUAAUGUUUGAUGUUCUAACGUGGACCCGUAAUCCGGGUUGCGGACAGUGUCUGGUGGGUAGUUUGACUGGGGCGGUCUCCUCCUAAAGAGUAACGGAGGAGCACGAAGGUUGGCUAAUCCUGGUCGGACAUCAGGAGGUUAGUGCAAUGGCAUAAGCCAGCUUGACUGCGAGCGUGACGGCGCGAGCAGGUGCGAAAGCAGGUCAUAGUGAUCCGGUGGUUCUGAAUGGAAGGGCCAUCGCUCAACGGAUAAAAGGUACUCCGGGGAUAACAGGCUGAUACCGCCCAAGAGUUCAUAUCGACGGCGGUGUUUGGCACCUCGAUGUCGGCUCAUCACAUCCUGGGGCUGAAGUAGGUCCCAAGGGUAUGGCUGUUCGCCAUUUAAAGUGGUACGCGAGCUGGGUUUAGAACGUCGUGAGACAGUUCGGUCCCUAUCUGCCGUGGGCGCUGGAGAACUGAGGGGGGCUGCUCCUAGUACGAGAGGACCGGAGUGGACGCAUCACUGGUGUUCGGGUUGUCAUGCCAAUGGCACUGCCCGGUAGCUAAAUGCGGAAGAGAUAAGUGCUGAAAGCAUCUAAGCACGAAACUUGCCCCGAGAUGAGUUCUCCCUGACCCUUUAAGGGUCCUGAAGGAACGUUGAAGACGACGACGUUGAUAGGCCGGGUGUGUAAGCGCAGUGAUGCGUUGAGCUAACCGGUACUAAUGAACCGUGAGGCUUAACCUU
rnacentral:rRNA from 1 species